rnacentral:rRNA from 1 species
UACGAAGGGGGCUAGCGUUGCUCGGAAUUACUGGGCGUAAAGGGCGCGUAGGCGGCCUGCUAAGUCGAACGUGAAAUCCCUGGGCUCAACCCAGGAACUGCGUCCGAUACUGGUUGGCUUGAAUCCGGGAGAGGGAUGUGGAAUUCCAGGUGUAGCGGUGAAAUGCGUAGAUAUCUGGAGGAACACCGGUGGCGAAGGCGACAUCCUGGACCGGUAUUGACGCUGAGGCGCGAAAGCUAGGGGAGCAAACGGG